CUUGCUUUCAUAGCUCAGUUGGUUAGAGCACCCGUUUAGUAAGCGGGAGCUCUUGAGUUCAAACGGGAGGUCUUGAGUUCGACUCUCAAUGAAAGCAG
rnacentral:tRNA from 1 species